rnacentral:tRNA from 1 species
AGUUCUUUAGUUUAAGAAAGAAUAUUGAAUUUUCAAUUCAAAGGAAAAUAAGAACUU